UUAAUUGAAGAGUUUGAUCAUGGCUCAGAUUGAACGCUGGCGGCAGGCCUAACACAUGCAAGUCGAGCGGUAGCACAAGAGAGCUUGCUCUCUGGGUGACGAGCGGCGGACGGGUGAGUAAUGUCUGGGAAACUGCCUGAUGGAGGGGGAUAACUACUGGAAACGGUAGCUAAUACCGCAUGACGUCUUCGGACCAAAGUGGGGGACCUUCGGGCCUCACGCCAUCAGAUGUGCCCAGAUGGGAUUAGCUAGUAGGUGGGGUAAUGGCUCACCUAGGCGACGAUCUCUAGCUGGUCUGAGAGGAUGACCAGCCACACUGGAACUGAGACACGGUCCAGACUCCUACGGGAGGCAGCAGUGGGGAAUAUUGCACAAUGGGCGCAAGCCUGAUGCAGCCAUGCCGCGUGUAUGAAGAAGGCCUUCGGGUUGUAAAGUACUUUCAGCGAGGAGGAAGGCAUUAAGGUUAAUAACCUU
rnacentral:rRNA from 1 species